CUCGCCUCUGACCUCUCUCACUCACUCUCUUUCUCCGCUCUGAAGAAAAAAAUUCUCCAGCCAUUGAAUCUUUCCCCUCCGUUGAAACCAGAGGAAGAUAGAUACUGAAGGACUUUCCUGUUGUUGCUGAAGCUGAAGUGAGGUCGUUGGCAUCAUUAUACUCUGUGGGUAGAUCAGCAGAUGCAUUGGCUGUUUAUUUCGGAGAAGAUCCUGGCAUCCUACACGCUGCCCUUUUGAGCAAGAUCGUAACUGAUACAACCAUUGCAAGUUGCAAGACCAGAUCCAGCUAGUGAGAAUCCAGUUUCUGAAGGAACUGGUGGUUUAAGUGGGAAACCUCUAUUUAUUCUGGCAACCAACGUGCUCAGUUCAUGUGUCUCUUGACAAAGGUUAAUAGCCAAUUUUGGCAUAUAUUUACUGGCCCGCAUCGAGGAAGACUCUGUAUAGUGUAUGUCUAUGGUCGAAAGCAAAUACACAAAGUGGUCUGUUUAUUGAGAAUUUGUAUAUUACAAUCCCAGAGGGACAGAACACGCCAGAUUCGUCUUACUCGCAGACAUUAACACAACAAGGCCAGUUACAGACUUCCAAAUUUUCCAUUCAGACCCUCUCCUUAAUCAGGUAUUUCCAUUGCAGCUUUCACCUGGCAGUAGGUUAAGUGCCAGUUUCCCAGCCUCAGGUCCAGCAGACUGCCUCAGUUGCUCAACAGUUGAUGCCUCCGAACUUGCAACAAGGUGUCUCUGGGCCUGCCGGUAUUUGCCAGAAGCGGCAAUUGCAUCAGCCUCCACGCCAAUCCUCUUCUCAGCUAGCUAAGGUCCUGUCUCGGCAAACACGAGCUUUACAAGCUAGCUUUCAGUCAUCUAAACAAGCAUUCUCUCAGCUACAAAAAAAAAGUUGUAUAUGAUGCAGCAGUCUAGUCAAAAUACAGGUACUUCUAGAUGCUAGAUCUUUAAGCAUCUUUUCUUAAUCUUUCAUUUAGUUCUGUUGUCAAUUUUUUUUUCUAGUUGGGCUGUACAAGUUUACUCUUAACCAGCAGCCAAACCACCGUCACCAUCACCACUACUACCACCACCCUCUCUCCUAUUUCUGUUGUUGCUGCUGAAUCUACCGUUAGGACAGAAAAUGACUGUAUUGAGCUGUUAGGCUUUACUAUGUCAGGCUAUGGAGCAGUACUAAGUGAAAAGUUGCCAUGAAAACAAACACAACUUAAGGUUAAUGAAAAGUUAGAAGCUUUAUUGUGUGUGUAGGUUGUUUGUAUGGAUUAUCCACGACCUGAACUCGAUAACACAAUUAAUUACUUAGAAACUGCUUACUUUUACACAAUAUCUAAUAAACCUUUGAAUGUUGUCAUUGCUGGUGCAGGUAACUAUUACUAUUUCAUUCUUUCCUUUACUCUUGCUGUCUUUCUUUCUGACAUUUGAUUUACUUAUCUUGUUUUGCUUAUUGUGUAUCGUGUUUUACAUUUGUACCUGGAAAAUAUUAUCAUCUCAACAUGUUAAUACUACUUGCAUUUAUUCUGGUAUAAUAUAUGACAUCGUACCUAGUGAUGACGAAGCUUUCCUAUGCUGGAUGGGGUACGAUGCAACAGAGAUUUCAGAUUUUGUAAAGGAUAAGGAGGUUGACUGCGAUGCAAUCUAGUGAUUGAGUAGCCCUGGUGAUCUCAAUUAUCCAUCUGUUAAGUUCAGUGUUAAAAAUUUCGAUUCUUUUUGAAAGGAAAAUUAUGUACAUUUCGAUUUGGAUGACGGCAUUGCUAUGUGUACCUCUCUCUUUGGGUUUAACCUUUUCUCUUGUGGAUUGUAACGUAGCUUGCAUCUGUUCUCUCUGUAAAUGGAUGGUAUGAGUAAUAACAGAGUUGGUGGUGAUCAUGUCUAGUUAGAUUCGAAGCGAGGCAACUGUCUUGCUCCCAGAACACAGAAAACGUAAGUGGAAGCAAUGCAAUGAAAUCCGUUCUCCCCGAGCACCAUUCUGAUUGAAAACCUGCUGGAAUUUUGGUUUAUGCUUUUCGAAUUAUUUUUCUGGUAUUUAGCCGACUGCUGGGAGGACAGAUUUGGAGGAGUGCAAGAGAUUUUCUCAUGCAUAUUUGAGUUCUUCAGGCUGCUGCUGGGGGAGCUUGAAUUGAAUCAAGUGUAAUGCUACCCGACGAUCUCCAGAGGAAUUCGAACUUAAGUUAUAGAUAUUGAGCACACUGCACAAAAAGAUUUCUACUCAAGUUUCUAGAUUGAUGUCUUUGAUUGUCGCGUAAGCAGAGGAGUUGAACUCGCCAUGUAUUGAGAUCAGAUAUUAACUUACAACUAGGAGUUUCUUAUAUUGGGUCUUCUCUUCUGAAAAUAAACUAAGUUAAGAGUCUUGAUUGAAAUCUCGAGUAAAUGUGGCACAAGUGAUAAAAUAUUGUUGUUUCCUUCCCUUUCUUUUGUAAAAUGUCUUGAAUGGGUAAACAUCUAUCAUUGUACAUAUGAAUAUCAAUAUAAGUGGUGCAGAAUUUGUUUGGUU